GCUUAUAGCUUGGUGAGCUAUUUGAGAAAAUUUGUUGGUAGAGAGCAAAAUACAAUUCAUUUAGGGAUUUUAGUUGCUUAAAAUACAAGUUACAAAUUAUGGUUUUUUUAUCUACUGCUACUUUAGGUGGAGCAAUACUUUGAUGAUGAAUUUGACUCUUAUGAAGCUAGAGUUUACUUUGGAAAUAGAUCCACCACCAAUUCCCAAUAAUGAAAGUACUGCCAAGGCUAGAAAGUUGUAUAAAGAUUGGAAACACUAGAAUAAGUGUUGUAUGAUUGUAUGGAUGAUUCUAUAUAUAUCAGUAUUCUAAAGGUACAUACUGCUAAGAAUCUCUAGGAUGAGAUUAGUAAGAAAUUCAUCAAAUUUGACAAGAAUGAGAAGCACAACUUUUUAGAUUUACUUACAUCCACUAUAUAUGAUGAAGUUAGUGGUGUAAAAGAGCAUAUAUUGAAGCUUUCCUCAUUUUAUAACAAGCACAAAGACAUGGAAAUAAAUUUGGAUAA